AAAAGUAAGCAGACUGCUCUUGAAAUUUUCAGAACAUCCAAGAAGUUCGUCAGUCCUAAUGAAUUAUAAAUACUGUCUGCUGUUGUUAUCACUGCUGCUGGCCAGCACAAGCGCUAGCCCGCCCCGGGACACGCCCACACGUCCCACGCUGCCCCCCUGCACGCCCUGGUGUGCCGGCCAACCGCCACCGCCGCCCGGCGCCGUCAACUAAGCUGAUGGAGGAUGCUAUAAUCUGCUUCUGCUGUUGCGGCUGCUGCUCUCAGGCAAACAAACAUGUGUUAGUAGUCGGUUACUUUUCGUAAUUAUUUCGGGCAAUUUGCUAAAACAAUUAAACUCCCAUAAAGUAUACAAAUAAGUUUCUUACUGGUAAUCUUCUACUGCACAUGUGGCUGGGAAUCUUUCGGUAAUUAGUAUCGCGUUUUAUGUCCAACUUAGAAUAUAUGUUUACCCAAAAAGCGCGAAAUUUCAUUGCCUGCAAAUUGAAAUAAAGCUUUCAAUUUAGAGUUCCUUCUGGGGUCAGAAAAUAACUGGCAAAUCUUAAGCAAAGCGGGCAGAACCUGCAUGUGUAUUGUGUGCAUGUCUCACUGUAGACCAUUUAUUGUGCGAUGUCAUAAUCAACAUAAUAUAUAUAUAUAUAUACAUGCUUAAAUUGAAAUUCCACUUGGCCGACAUACCUGCACACCGUAUCUAUGUCAUAAGAAGAACACAGAAUGUAAACCAGCAAAAAGCAAUAGACAGGCAAUGCAAUAAAGUUGUCGCGAGAAUAACAGCAAAA